GGCUGUGGUCUAAAAAUGGUCUUGAAAACUAGCGAAGGUGCAAGCCUUCCGUGGGUUCGAAUCCCACCCUUUCCGCCA
rnacentral:tRNA from 1 species